rnacentral:rRNA from 1 species
GACGAACGCUGGCGGCGUGCCUAAUACAUGCAAGUCGAGCGAUGAUUAAAGAUAGCUUGCGAUUUUUAUGAAGAGCGGCGAACGGGUGAGUAACGCGUGGGAAAUCUGCCGAGUAGCGGGGGACAACGGCUGGCAACGAACGCUAAUACCGCAUAACGAUGAGACUCGCAUGAUUCUUAUUUGACAGAAGCAAUUGCUCCACUACUUGAUGCUCCAGCGGUGUAAUAGCUAGUUGGUAGUGUAAAGGACUACCAAGGCGAUGAUACAUAGCCGACCUGAGAGGGUGAUCGGCCACGCUGGGACUGAGACACGGCCCAGACUCCUACGGGAGGCAGCAGUAGGGAAUCUUCGGCAAUGGGGGCAACCCUGACCGAGCAACGCCGCGUGAGUGAAGAAGGUUUUCGGAUCGUAAACUCCUGUCACCACAGAGCAAUAUUUUCAUUCUAACAAAGUGAAAAGAGGAUCGUAUGUGGAGAGGAAGGGACGGCUAACUCUGUGCCAGCAGCCGCGGUAA